CAGCAGCCGCGGUAAUACGUAGGUGGCAAGCGUUGUCCGGAAUUAUUGGGCGUAAAGGGCUCGCAGGCGGUUUCUUAAGUCUGAUGUGAAAGCCCCCGGCUCAACCGGGGAGGGUCAUUGGAAACUGGGAAACUUGAGUGCAGAAGAGGAGAGUGGAAUUCCACGUGUAGCGGUGAAAUGCGUAGAGAUGUGGAGGAACACCAGUGGCGAAGGCGACUCUCUGGUCUGUAACUGGCGCUGAGGAGCGAAAGCGUGGGGAGCGAACAGGAUUAGAUACCCCUGUAGUCCCUGUCUCUUAUAC
rnacentral:rRNA from 1 species